CGCCCAUUUUUGUCUUCCAGGUUUAACAUACAAACUACUGCAUAUAAAAGAUUCAGCCAGGACUUCCAAUUGUUGCAAGAAUGGAACCUAAUGGAAAUCAUGUAGCUGAGAGGUAUGGUGUAGUCACUGGAGCAAAUAAGGGGAUUGGUUUUGAAACAGCAAAGCAACUUGCUUCUCGAGGCAUACGAGUGAUUUUGACAGCCAGAAAUGAG
rnacentral:misc_RNA from 1 species